rnacentral:misc_RNA from 1 species
GAAAUGCGAUAAGUAAUGUGAAUUGCAGAAUUCAGUGAAUCAUCGAGUCUUUGAACGCACAUUGCGCCCCCUGGCACUCCGGGGGGCACGCCUGUCCGAGCGUCGUCCAACCACCCUUCGGGCCCCUUGUCACCUGGCUUCCGGGUGUCCGAUGGGGUCCGGCCUUGGGCCUACAUUCGCCCCUGCGUAGGGCGGGCCCGCAAGUCACCGGCCGGUCGUCCCCAAGGGCCCCGAGCGCAGCGGCUGUCCCAUGCUCGAGGAGGUCCUUGCGGGGUGCCCACCGGCGUAUCCCCGUCCCAGACGCACGUUUGACCUCGGAUCAGGCGGGGUUACCCGCUGAACUUAAGC